GACGAACGCUGGCGGCGUGCUUAACACAUGCAAGUCGAACGGAAAGGCCCUGCUUUUGUGGGGUGCUCGUGUGGCGAACGGGUGAGUAACACGUGAGUAACCUGCCCUUGACUUUGGGAUAACUUCAGGAAACUGGGGCUAAUACCGGAUAGAUGCUUCUGCUGCCUGGUGGGGGUUGGAAAGUUUCGGCGGUUGGGGAUGGACUCGCGGCUUAUCAGCUUGUUGGCUGGUUAGUGGCUUACCAAGGCUUCGACGGGUAGCCGGCCUGGGAGGGUGACCGGCCACAUGAGGACUGAGAGACGGACCAGACUCCUACGGGAGGCAACAGUGGGGAAUAUUGCGCAAUAGGCGGAAGCCUGAUGCAGCAACGCCGGGUGCGGGAUGACGGGCUUCGGGUGGAAAACCGCUUUCGCCGGUGACGAAGCGUGAGUGACGGUAAUGGGUAAGAAAGCACCGGCUAACUACGUG
rnacentral:rRNA from 1 species